UUCCUCCUCCAGCAGGCUCGCACGGGCUGUCCUAGCAGGGGCUACGGCGGCCGACGAGCCCAAUGCGCGACGCCUCUGCGUUCCGCACGCGCUUCCCCAGCCGGCAGUGUUCGGUGUUCUCGCGAGGCGGGUACUGGACCUAUGUGGGAGGGUCUAAGAGCGACUUCCUCUACUCUCGGUCCCGCCUGCUGGCGCGGGAUCUCCGCGGGGUGGUCGGUUCUCGCGAGUUCCCUGUCCCGUCUGGUGCCGCGAGAUUCCUUUCUGAGCCGGCAGCGAGAGGGGUCUUGGAUUUUCCUUUGAGAGGUUGCUGGCUGCACCUGGGGUGUGACGAGCCGUGGGACCCAGCUCUGAGGAAAAAGUAAAGCAUACCUGGGAGAGUGGUGAACAGAUGGAUGAGGGACAAAAUCAUGUCAGUUUCUCAAUCUAAAGAGCUGGCUAAGACAACUCUGCUUCUCACCUUCCUUCAAUAACCUCAAAGUUGGUCCUAAAUACUUAUUCUUGCUGGUCCAAACUUUGUUGGUGAAUGGAAUCAACUGCAGAGCUCUUUACCUUUUAGAAGGUGAGAAAGCCCACUGAUUACCAAGUAGGUAUCUUGGCAUCUGACCUGCUAGAAUGAAGAUCUCUGAUUCCAAGCCAAGUAGUUCACUUUUGUGUAGGAAAUCCUGACUGAUGGAGUCAAAAAGGCAAUAUUUAACAAGUGCCUUCUGUGACCAGAGAGUUUGGCAAAGACCAGAAUAAGGAUAAUCAAAGACACCUACCUGGCAUCUGAAAGUAUGGGAACUGCUUAUUUUACUGUUCAUGCUAGGAUUCCAUUCCUAUGCACACAUUACAUAACUCACAAGGAAUUGGGCUCCAGAAAACUUUGAUUUUACAUGGCAAUAUGGUAAGGCAUAAAGAACACUGGACUAUGGGUCGACAGUCCUAUGUUCCAAACUUUGCUUUUCAUUAAGCCAUUUCUCUAGGCCUCAUUUUCCCCCUCCAAACAUACUGAUGAGGGUGGAUUGGAUAACUUUCCUGUUUUCACCCUCUUUGGUAUUUUGGGAUAUUUGGAAUGCAAUCUACAACUGACUCCCUUUCAUGUUUCCUACACUGUCCAUCUCAAGCAUUUUGCAUUUUCCUCAAGGUCUACACUUUAUCACAGACACAUUCAUUGCCUACAGAUGACUGUAAUUCUGAGAGCAACAUGGAAAGCACAUCAUGGACCAUAGUAAAAACAAACCCAAAGCAACAACACGUCUAACAUGAACCCCUGAGUUAUGAAACCUUUCUGAGUCCUUACUGAGAAGUCCCUGAUGAAAAAAUAUUCAUCCCCAACUUCUGCCAUCUACAGAGAGAACACAAGCAGGGGUGAAGUGAAGGAGAGGGAGAAGCAGACUCCCUGCUGAACUGGGAGCCCGACGCGGGGCUCAAUCCCAGGACCUGGAGACCAUGACUUGAGCUGAAGGCAGACGCUCAACCAUCUGAGCCACCCAGGCAUUCUGACAAGACUGAGGUGAUAUCUCAUUGUGGUUUUGAUUUGGAUAACCCUGAUGAUGAGUGAUGUUGGACAUCUUUUCAUGUGUGUUGACCACCUGGAUGUCUUCUUUGAAGAAAUGUUUGUUCAUUAACACCAAACAUUUUAAAAUAUGAUAUUGGUCAUUGGAAUUUCCUCUUUUGUGAAGUGCUUUUUCAAAUCUUUUCACCAUUUUUACUCUUGUGUACUUUUCCUUUUCCUUGUUAUUUGUAGCAGUUUCUUAUAUUCUGGAUACUAGUUCUUUAUUAGUUAUAUGCAUGGCAAAUAUCUUUUCCUACACUUCGAGUUGAAUUUCCACUCUUUCUAUACUGUUGUUUAUAAGUAGUUUUUAAUUUUAAUUUAUCAGUCAUUUUUUUUCUAUUAUGAGUACUUUUAGUGCUUGUUUAGAAAAAUCCUUCCCUAGUCCAAGGUCAAGAAGAAUCAUCCCGUAUUUUCUAAAAUUCAAUGGAUUUGAGUUUUGUGUAUGAUAUAAAAGAGGAGCCCAAUUUCAUUUUUCUCAUUAUCCUGGUAUCUUCUUUUAGAAAGUCUAUUCCAUCCUCACUGCUCUGCAGUGCCACCUCUGUCACAAGUCAAAUGUCACACAAACCUAUUUCAAUGACAUUACUCAGCUCUCCUGCUCUGUUACUCUUCUACUUUCCUGUCCCUGUGGCAACACCAUACAGUCCUGAUUACUACAGCUUUGUAAUAUGUCUUGUUGUCUACUAGAACAAAUUUUCCUCUUGGUUCUUUCUCUUUAAAAGUGCUGUUAUGAGCUGAACUGUGUCCUCCCCACAAAAGAUAUGUUGACAUCUCUAAAACCUCAGAAUGUGACUUUAUUUGGAAAUACGGUGAUUGCAGGGGUAAUUAGUUAAGAUGAGGUCAUAUUGGAGUAGGGUGACCCCUCAUUCUAAUGUGACUGGUGUUCUUAUAAGAUGAUGGCCAUAUAAAGACAGACACAGAGAGAAUGCUAUGUGACCAUGAAGGCAGAGCUUGGAGUUAUGCAGCUGCCAACCAAGGAAAGCCAAAGAUUGUCAGGAAACCACCGGAAGAUAGAAAAGACAAGGAAGGAUUCUCUGUAUAGGUUUCAAAGGACGCAUCAACCUGGCAACACCUUGAUUUUGGAAUUCUAGCCACCUGAACUAUGAGACAAUAAAUUUGUUGUUUUAAGCCAUCCAGUUUGUGGUACUUUGUUAUAUACAGCAUCCCUAGGAAACUAAUAAAGUGCCUUGAUUGCUUUUGGCCUUUUGCAUGUCAAUAUAAAUUUUAGAAGUAGUUUGUCAAGUUCCAUGAAAACUUUUGAUUUUGAUAAGAUUGUGUGAAUCUAUAAAUAAAUUUGGGGAGAAGUUACAUAUUUUUACUACUGGGUGUUCCUUGAAUCUGGUAUUCUUCUCCAUUACUUAGGUUGCCUUCAAUGUCUCUGAACAAAGUUUUAUGAUUUUCUUUAUAAUGGUGUUGGAAAUCUUUUAUUAGAUUUAUUCUUAAGUAAUUGGUAAUGUUUAAUGCUAUUGUAAACAAAGGCUAUUGUAAAUGCUAUCUUUUGUAAACUUAAAUUUUGUAACUAUUUGUUGCUGGUAUAUGGAGGAAAUAGAGGUUUUGGACAUUAUUUUUCAGUGACUUUGCUAAACCUUUUUGUUCUAAAUUUUAACAGUUUAUUUGGAUUUUUAAAAAAUUAUUUAUUUAUUUAUUUGUCAGAGAGAGAGAGAGAGCAUGAGCAGGGGGAGCUGCAGAGGGAGGGGGAGAAGCAGGCUCCCCGCUGAGCAGGGAGCCUGACACAAGACUCAAUCCUAGAACCCUGGGAUCAUGACCUGAGCCAAAGGCAGAUGCUUAACCAACUGAGCCACCCAGGUGUUCCAAGUUUAUUUGGAUUUUAUAUAAAAAUCAUUUCAUCUGUAAAUAAUGACAGGUUUUUUUUCCCUCUGCUUUAGUUUCUUAUUUUUAAUUUUUAAAAAUUUCUUCAUGAAUGGGCCCUCCCCUACAAUGUUGAUUAGAAACAGUGAUAGCCAGUCUUCCUUGUCCUGUUUCUGAUUUCCAAUGGAAAAAUUUCAGCAUUUAAAUUAAGUAAGAUAUUUGCUUUAUGUUUUGUAAAGAUGAAAGAAAUUACCUUCUGCUCCUUGUUUGCUAAGAGUUUUAUUUGGUUUAGUCAUAAAUGGGUGUUAAAUCUUUUUAAGUGUUUCAUCUGCAUCUAUUGAGAUGAUCAUGUGAUUUUUCUCUAAUUUGUUAACAUGGUGAAUUCAUUACUUAAUUUUUGAAUAUUAAACGAACCAUGAAUUUUUGGGAUAAAUACACCUUAAUCAUGACCUAUUAUUACUUUUAUAUGUUGCUAGAUUAAGUUUGCUAAUAUUCUAUUAGAAUUUUUCCAUCUAUAUGCUGGUAAGUGAGUUUGGUCUAUAAUAUUUUCUUCUUUUUUUUUCUCAGUUAAAAAUUUUUAAUUAAUAUACUUUGGUUUUUGGAGAAAUUGAGCAGAAAUUAGAGAGUUACUAUAUACCCUCUCCACCCACCCACAAUUUUCCCUAUUAUUAAUGUAUUGCAUUAGUGUGAUAGACAUUUAUUACAAUUGUUGAACCAAUUUUGACACAGCAUUUGUUUGGUAAUAAUCUUUUCUUAUAUUGUCAUUGUCAAGUUUGCUAUCAAAAUUAUGCUAGCCACAUUAAAUAAAUUGGGCAAUAUUUC